UGUCCUUAUUUGCCAGCACGUAAAGGUGGGAACUUUAAGGAGACUGCCGGUGAUAAACCGGAGGAAGGUAGGGACGACGUCAAGUCAUCAUGGCCCUUAUGACCAGGGCUACACACGUGCUACAAUGGUCGGUACAAUGGGUUGCCAAACCGCGAGGUGGAGCUAAUCUCAUAAAACCGAUCCCAGUCCGGAUUGUAGUCUGCAACUCGACUACAUGAAGUCGGAAUCGCUAGUAAUCGUGGAUCAGAAUGCCACGGUGAAUACGUUCCCGGGUCUUGUACACACCGCCCGUCACACCAUGGAAGUUGAUUGCUCCAGAAGUAGGUAGCUUAAAAAUGGGCGCUUACCACGGAGUGGUCGAUGACUGGGGUGAAGUCGUAACAAGGUAGCCGUAGGGGAACCUGCGGCUGGAUCACCUCCUUUAAA
rnacentral:rRNA from 1 species